CCUUGAUGGCGAGAGAAACGAUUCGCCUCGAGUGCUUGACCGGUGUUCUUCAAAUUGGCCAUCCGACCCUCAGAAUCCACAAUUUCAGCAGACGAUGCGUUCUGCUUCGAUGAAAGGAGACCGUGCUUUGGUCACCAAAGGCUUAUAUCAAAACAUUGCGUAGGGGAAAUCGUAUAAAGCAAUAGGCCACAGUCUACGUGAUGUCUUGAGGUCAAUAGGCCUACAGCAUUCCCAUUUCAUUCAGAGGAUGGUACCUACAUCAUUCGCUUGAGGACUUCUCCAGUCAAGACCUCCGGGAAAAAGGACCACUCUUCACAGGCCAAGAAGUUUUGUCAGAAGCAACCUAAGUGUCCCGCUGUUUACUUCCUAUUUGUUUACCCAGUCUCAUUUUCCGACGCAUUUUAUCACUUUGCCGUCAAAUUUGACAUCAAUUUGUCAUUGUUUGUUGCUAAACAGAAGUCUCCUGUUCGUAAAACGAUUCUGAACGCGUUAAAACCCCGAUCUUGCAAAAAAUAUAUAUAUAUAUUUUUUAUUUUUAUGGUAGAAUUGAUGGGAAAUCGCCGAAGAUGUCAUGAGAGUAACUAACGAAAAAUGGCCCAUAACUGCCUGUCUAUCUUGAUAACUAUCUAUCUGUCUUUAGAUAACUUGGCAACUCGUUACCAAAAGGCCGAGCUCGAAGGUUUUGUAAAUAUACUUUUCUAAGGAUUCAAAUAUCUUGUUUUAUGAAUUUUUUAACUCAAAUUUCUUGUUUCGUCAUUUUUGCUGUUUAAUUAUGUUAUACAGCAAUAAAU